GAAGAAAGAAUUUUACUAAUUGAUCAAUCAAAAAAUGCCUCGAAGCAUUUAUAGCAUCAAGUGAUAAUAUUUAAUAUAAGUAAUAU